rnacentral:rRNA from 1 species
AGAGUUUGAUCCUGGCUCAGGAUUAACGCUGGCGGCGUGCAUAACACAUGCAAGUCGAACGAUGAAACUUCAUUGAUCCCCUCGGGGUGAAAUGAAAUGGAUUAGUGGCGAACGGGUGAGUAACGCGUGAGUAACCUGCCUUACACAAGGGGAUAGCCUCUGGAAACGGAGAAUAAUACCCUAUAAAAUUUUAACUUCGCAUGAAGAGUAAGUCAAAGUGUUUUAGCGGUGUAAGAUGGACUUGCGUCUGAUUAGCUAGUUGGUGAGAUAAAAGCUCACCAAGGCAACGAUCAGUAGCCGGCUUGAGAGAGUGUACGGCCACAUUGGGACUGAGACACGGCCCAGACUCCUACGGGAGGCAGCAGUGGGGAAUUUUGCACAAUGGGGGCAACCCUGAUGCAGCGACGCCGCGUGAUUUAGAAGGCCUUCGGGUUGUAAAAAUCUUUUGUAUAGGAAGAAAAUGACAGUACUAUACGAAUAAGGUCCGGCUAAUUACGUGCCAGCAGCCGCGGUAAUACGUAAGGACCGAGCGUUGUCCGGAAUCAUUGGGCGUAAAGGGUACGUAGGCGGUUAUCUAAGUUAGAAGUCAAAGGCUAUAGCUCAACUAUAGUAAGCUUUUAAAACUGGAUAACUUGAGAGAUGGAAGGGAAAGUGGAAUUCCUAGUGUAGCGGUGAAAUGCGCAGAUAUUAGGAGGAAUACCGGUGGCGAAGGCGACUUUCUGGCCAUUAUCUGACGCUGAGGUACGAAAGCGUGGGUAGCAAACAGGAUUAGAUACCCUGGUAGUCCACGCCGUAAACGAUGAGUGUUAGUGUCUGGUGUUAAAACUGGGUGCCGCAGCUAACGCAUUAAACACUCCGCCUGAGAGUACGCACGCAAGUGUGAAACUCAAAGAAUUGACGG